rfam:Aedes aegypti strain Liverpool supercont1.444 genomic scaffold, whole genome shotgun sequence.
CCAUCGGUUCUUUUCAGAGCCAUCAAAUUUGUGGAAAAGAGUUAAAU